AAAGCGCACGCAGGCGGUCUGUCAAGUCAGAUGUGAAAUCCCCGGGCUUAACCUGGGAACUGCAUUUGAAACUGGCAGGCUAGAGUCUUGUAGAGGGGGGUAGAAUUCCAGGUGUAGCGGUGAAAUGCGUAGAGAUCUGGAGGAAUACCGGUGGCGAAGGCGGCCCCCUGGACAAAGACUGACGCUCAGGUGCGAAAGCGUGGGGAGCAAACAGGAUUAGAUACCCCAGU
rnacentral:rRNA from 1 species